CAUUCAUGGCACCAGCCUUUUUGUUAUGAUCAUAGCCAGGACGCUUUUCACGAGAGACAUACACCAGCAAGGGGAGACGAAUAUCAACUUCUGUUGAAUCAAUUAGACCAUCAUCGGAAGAGGUUCCAUGUAAGGGUUCAUCACUUGGGGGUUUUAACAUAACCUGUAUGAUUCCUGCGUGAUCACCCCUAGAGUGCUCGGGAGCAGAAAUCAUCCAAGUACCAGGCCAGUGGGUUCCAUCUGCCAUCCAAGUGGCCUUAGUUAUCUUAAUGGGUUCCAAAAGAUCAUCUCCAGCUGCCUCUCGCUGAAGCUUCAUGGCCUUGAUUUCUUCUCGAGCGUUAUAGGCAUCAGAACGCCGACGAAUUGAAUCAGGGAGGCUAUUAAUUCGAACCUUAAAUUCAUCAUAUUCACGUUUCACCCGUCUGCGGUCCUUAACAAAAUCUUGACGUACUUUAUUCUUGUAAGGGUCUUUCUUCAAGCUGAAGUAGGUUUCUGGGUUCCUUGGUUCAAUAUUAUGUUUACGACAAAAUGGGACCCAAAUGUUGGCAAAACUUGCAGCUUCUGCCAUUGCUUCAAAUGUCAGAAGAGCACCUCCAUCAUCAGAAAUAUAACAGGAAAGCUUUUCAACGGGGUAAUCAGCUGCAAGGAUAGAUAGAAUCGUGUUUGCAGUGACCAGCGGUGGCUCUUUCUCAGGAUCUGCAGUAGAGACAAAUAUGUCUAUGCCUGGAAGAUCAGAUUUUCCUGUGGGAUUGGUCGGGGUUGGUGUUUCAAAUUUUUCUUUCAAGACAUUAAGAUCGGUAGCACGGUUAACAGGGCAUAACUUUGGAAGCUGGUCAAGCAGCCAAGAGAUUGCAAACCAAACCUCACAGAUUAUGGACAUAUACCAUAACCAUAUAGCAUCAUUGUUCGGAUUGGUAAUCCUCCAUUGAAGAAAUAGUCCAAGAACAACUACGCGAAUAAGAAUCAAGAGCCGGUAUGGGCUAAUAACUCCAGCGGGUAUCUUCAGUUUACGAGUAAGCGGCCUCCAAGGCUUGUUCAUAAGUUCAGAAGGCUCACCAACAUGAUCUUCUUUGUCAUUUCCAAGCCCCCCAUCCUUUGGCCAUAUAGCAUUUCCAUAGCCAUACGUCCCUUUUG
rnacentral:misc_RNA from 1 species